GCAAUGGUCCAGCAGGAAUCAUUCACGGUUGAAAGGACCAAUAAAAUGGACAGUGAAAAUGCUCUAUCCAGCUGCUGGACCCUGGACCAACAGUCAAGAAAGUGAUUGGGAUCAGCCUCAACCUGAUGCAGUGUGAAGUCGGCGAAUUCUUUCCUGAUCAACUUUGUGCCGCAUUGGACGAACAUCUCCUCCCUAUGCGCUUAUGAUGAGGGGUCUUCAAGGACGCAGCCAGAGCUUGUCUACAUCGGCCAUCUGACGAGCCCAGCACGACAGUUCGUCAUUGGUGGUAAAAUGUUAAAGGAACACUUCACCGUUUUUUCAUAUUAAAC